rnacentral:rRNA from 1 species
UACGGAGGGGUGCAAGCGUUAUCCGGAAUCACUGGGGUUUAAAAGGGGUGCGUAGGCGGCACAAUAAGUCAGAAGUGAAAGGCUGUAGCUUAACUAUGGAAUUGCUUUUUGAUACUGUUGAGCUUGAAUUGGGGUUGAGGUUAGCGGAAUGAGUCAUGUAGCGGUGAAAUGCAUAGAUAUGACUUAGAACACCAAUUGCGAAGGCAGCUAACUGGGCCUUGAUUGACGCUGAGGCACGAAAAGCGUGGGGAGCGAACAGGAUUAGAUACCCCCUGUAGUCC